rnacentral:rRNA from 1 species
UACGUAGGAGGCAAGCGUUGUCCGGAAUUACUGGGCGUAAAGCGCGUGUAGGUGGUGGGACAAGUCUGCUGUGAAAGCGCCUGGCUUAACCGGGCGAGGUCGGCGGAAACUGUCGCACUCGAGGACGGUAGAGGGGGGUGGAAUUCCCGGUGUAGUGGUGAAAUGCGUAGAGAUCGGGAAGAACACCAGUGGCGAAGGCGGCCGGCUGGGGGCGCCCUGACGCUGAGGCGCGAGAGCGUGGGGAGCAAACCGG